UGGGGAAUUUUGCGCAAUGGGGGAAACCCUGACGCAGCAACGCCGCGUGGAGGAUGAAAUAUCUUGGUAUGUAAACUCCUUUCGAUGGGGAAGAUUAUGACGGUACCCAUAGAAGAAGCCCCGGCUAACUUCGUGCCAGCAGCCGCGGUAAUACGAGGGGGGCAAGCGUUGUUCGGAUUUAUUGGGCGUAAAGGGUGCGUAGGCGGUUUGGCAAGUCUUAUGUGAAAUCUUCGGGCUCAACCCGAAGCCUGCAUAAGAAACUGCCGGGCUUGAGUAUGGGAGAGGUGAGUGGAAUUUCCGGUGUAGCGGUGAAAUGCGUAGAUAUCGGAAGGAACACCUGUGGCGAAAGCGGCUCACUGGACCAUAACUGACGCUGAUGCACAAAAGCUAGGGGAGCAAACAGGAUUAGAUACCCUGGUAGUCCUAGCCCUAAACGAUGAUUGCUUGGUGUGGCAGGUACCCAAUCCUGCCGUGCCGAAGCUAACGCGAUAAGC
rnacentral:rRNA from 1 species